AUGGCUGCAAGAACCAACGGAAAGAUGGUCAUUCGGCAGCACGGUGAAGGCCCUGCGGCGAUGCUCGCCAUGGGUACGGCGAACCCGACAAACCUCCUGCUGCCCCAAGACGUGUUCACCGACAACUUGUUCCGCUUGAGCAAGUGCGACCACCUCACUGAACUCAAGGAAAAGAUGAACAGAAUCUGUCAGAAAACAGGCAUCGAGAAGCGCCACUUCCACCUGACAGAGGAGACCGUGGACGCGCACCCGGAGUUCCUCGACAGGGAGCUGCCAUCCCUCGACGCACGCAUAGAAAUGGUCACCAUCGCCGUGCCGAAGCUCGCGCAGUCCGCCGCGGCCAAGGCCAUCACGGAAUGGGGCCGCCCCGCCACCGACAUCACCCACCUCGUCUUCAGCACCUACUCAGCGUGGGAGGCCCCCAGUGCCGACCUCAAGCUGGCCACGCUCCUCGGCCUCCGCCCCACCGUCUGCCGCACCAUCCUCAGCCUCCAUGGCUGCUACGGCGGCGGUAGGGCUCUCCACCUCGCCAAGGAGCUCGCCGAGAACAACCGCGGCGCGCGCAUCCUCGUCGCCUGCGCCGAGACGACCCUCGUCUGCUUUGGUAGCCCCGACGGGGCCAACCUCGUGGGCCACGCCUUGUUCGGGGAUGGCGCCGGCGCCAUCAUCGUCGGCGCCGGCCCCUUCGACGAGGGCGAGCGCCCGCUCUUCGAGAUGGUCACCGCCACGCAGACAACGAUCCCUAGGACCGAGCACGUGCUCGGCAUGCAGGCCACGGCGGGCGGCAUAGACUUCCACCUCGCCAUUCAGGUGCCAAUGCUGAUCGGGCAGAACGUUGAGCUCUGCCUCCUCGACGCGUUCGACGGCGAUGCUCCGCGUUCCUGGAAUGAGCUCUUCUGGGCGGUGCACCCAGGUGGCCGUCCGAUCCUGGAUAACAUAGACACGGUGCUCAAACUGGAGCCGGGUAAGUUGGCGGCCAGCCGGCAUGUGCUCCGCGAGUACGGCAACAUGAGUGGCGCCACCAUCGUCUUCGUGCUCGACGAGCUGCGCCGGCGUCGGAAGGAGGAGGAUGGUGGCCACCUGCUGCCGGAGUGGGGCGCCAUGCUGGCAUUCGGGCCGGGAAUCACCAUCGAGACCAUGCUGCUUCGCUCUCCACGCUGA
rnacentral:rRNA from 1 species